UAUAUGUUAAUGUAAAAUGCAUAAAAAGUUUUGAUCUUUUAAGUUUUGGUGAAAGUCCUUUACGUAUAA
rnacentral:tRNA from 1 species